GGUGCCCCUAAGGGCAUUACUGAUGUGACUGCUGUGUCACAUGUGUGUCAUUGGUGGCAGAGAGAAGAGAGGCUUGUCUACAUCCAGUGCUCUGACCUCUGAGCAAAUGGGUGAUUGAUAGUCUGACACU
rnacentral:snoRNA from 1 species